GACGAACGCUGGCGGCGUGCUUAACACAUGCAAGUCGAACGGAAAGGCCCUGCUUUUGUGGGGUGCUCGAGUGGCGAAAGGGUGAGUAACACGUGAGUAACCUGCCCUUGACUUUGGGAUAACUUCAGGAAACUGGGGCUAAUACCGGAUAGGAGCUCCUGCUGCAUGGUGGGGGUUGGAAAGUUUCGGCGGUUGGGGAUGGACUCGCGGCUUAUCAGCUUGUUGGUGGGGUAGUGGCUUACCAAGGCUUUGACGGGUAGCCGGCCUGAGAGGGUGACCGGCCACAUUGGGACUGCGAUACGGCCCAGACUCCUACGGGAGGCAGCAGUGGGGAAUAUUGCACAAUGGGCGGAAGCCUGAUGCAGCAACGCCGCGUGCGGGAUGACGGCCUUCGGGUUGUAAACCGCUUUCGCCUGUAACGAAGCGUGAGUGACGGUAAUGGGUAAAGAAGCACCGGCUAACUACGUG
rnacentral:rRNA from 1 species